rnacentral:rRNA from 1 species
GACGAACGCUGGCGGCGUGCUUAACACAUGCAAGUCGAACGGAGCACCCUUGAUUGAGGUUUCGGCCAAAUGAUAGGAAUGCUUAGUGGCGGACUGGUGAGUAACGCGUGAGGAACCUGCCUUUCAGAGGGGGACAACAGUUGGAAACGACUGCUAAUACCGCAUGACGCAUUUUGAUCGCAUGGUCGAAAUGCCAAAGAUUUAUCGCUGAAAGAUGGCCUCGCGUCUGAUUAGCUAGUUGGCGGGGUAACGGCCCACCAUGGCGACGAUCAGUAGCCGGACUGAGAGGUUGACCGGCCACAUUGGGACUGAGGUACGGCCCAGACUCCUACGGGAGGCAGGCAGUGGGGAAUAUUGGGCAAUGGACGCAAGUCUGACCCAGCAACGCCGCGUGAAGGAAGAAGGCUUUCGGGUUGUAAACUUCUUUUGUCAGGGAAGAGUAAUGACGGUACUCAACAAGGAAGUGACGGCUAACUACGUGCCAGCAGCCGCGGU